AUGCGCAGAAGGACACAUUGACGUCACCCUUUCCUCAGCCCCUCUCUUGACGCCCCAUCAAUAGUAGAGACUGACCGAACAAUAGGCCUUGAGUGUGGGCAUUCCUGGGGCCCCACUUCUCUCUGUGGCUUCGGCCCACUACUAGUCAUGGCCCGCAAGCUCUAUUGACGAUAUAUAUACGUUGUGAGAAAUGAGAAUGGAAGGAACUUGCACAAGCUUUGAAUGUUGCUGAAGUCAAAGUGAAGACAUGGUUUGUCCAUCGGAGAGCUGAAGAGAGGAAGAGUGAGAGGUCUGUCAUAUUACAGAGCAUACCUCCUCGUAUUGAAAAGGUCCUGCUCCUUAGGGAAAGGGACGACUAUCUCUAGAGUGCAAUCUUUGUUCAUA